rnacentral:tRNA from 1 species
GCCCAGGUGGUGAAAUUGGUAUACACGUACGCUUGAGGUGCGUAUGCCGUGAGGUGUGGAGGUUCAAGUCCUCUCCUGGGCA